rnacentral:rRNA from 1 species
CAGUCGCCACGGGAAUACGAAGGGGGCUAGCGUUGUUCGGAAUUACUGGGCGUAAAGCGCACGUAGGCGGACAUUUAAGUCAGGGGUGAAAUCCCGGGGCUCAACCCCGGAACUGCCUUUGAUACUGGGUGUCUAGAGUAUGGAAGAGGUGAGUGGAAUUCCGAGUGUAGAGGUGAAAUUCGUAGAUAUUCGGAGGAACACCAGUGGCGAAGGCGGCUCACUGGUCCAUUACUGACGCUGAGGUGCGAAAGCGUGGGGAGCAAACAGGAUUAGAGACCCCAGUAGUCCCUGUCUCUUAUAC